AUUGAACGCUGGCGGCAUGCUUUACACAUGCAAGUCGAACGGUAACAGGCCGCAAGGUGCUGACGAGUGGCGAACGGGUGAGUAAUGCAUCGGAACGUGCCCAGUCGUGGGGGAUAACGCAGCGAAAGUUGCGCUAAUACCGCAUACGAUCUAUGGAUGAAAGCGGGGGACCGUAAGGCCUCGCGCGAUUGGAGCGGCCGAUGUCAGAUUAGGUAGUUGGUGGGGUAAAGGCUCACCAAGCCGACGAUCUGUAGCUGGUCUGAGAGGACGACCAGCCACACUGGGACUGAGACACGGCCCAGACUCCUACGGGAGGCAGCAGUGGGGAAUUUUGGACAAUGGGCGCAAGCCUGAUCCAGCAAUGCCGCGUGCAGGAAGAAGGCCUUUGGGUUGUAAACUGCUUUUGUACGGAACGAAACGGUCCUGGUUAAUACCCGGGGCUAAUGACGGUACCGUAAGAAUAAGCACCGGCUAACUACGUGCCAGCCGCCGCCGUAA
rnacentral:rRNA from 1 species